UACGUAGGGUGCGAGCGUUGUCCGGAAUUAUUGGGCGUAAAGGGCUCGUAGGCGGUUUGUCACGUCGGGAGUGAAAACUCAGGGCUUAACCCUGAGCCUGCUUUCGAUACGGGCAGACUAGAGGUAUGCAGGGGAGAACGGAAUUCCUGGUGUAGCGGUGAAAUGCGCAGAUAUCGGGAAGAACACCAAUGGCGAAGGCACUCUGCUGGGCCGCGACUGACACUGAGAGACGAAAGCUAGGGGAGCAAACAGG
rnacentral:rRNA from 1 species